rnacentral:rRNA from 1 species
CUCCCAGUAACGGCGAGUGAACGGAGAUUAGCCCGUCACCGAAGUCCGGUGCUGCUGCACUCGUGACAAUGUGGUGUUAAGGCAUGCGCCUGGGGUCUCGUGUCUGCCCGAAGUCCAACUUCGAUUAUGGCUUGGAAUUAGCCCAGAGCGGGUGAAAGGCCCGUGCGGGUAGAAGUUGACUGUUAGCGAGAUCCUCAGCUGUGCAUGCUUUCGAGUCGGAUUGCUUGAGAAUGCAGUCCAAAGUGGGUGGUAAACUCCAUCCAAGGCUAAAUACUGGCACGAGUCCGAUAGUAGACAAGUACCGUGAGGGAAAGUUGAAAAGUACUCUGAAGAGAGAGUAAAUAGUACGUGAAGCCGAUCGCAGGGAAGCUGGUGGAGUCAAGCUUCUUGCCUGGAGAAUUCUCGCAUGGAGAUUUUUGUGAUUGUGGGCAGCAUGCUGGACAGCUUGGAAAGAGCUGGGCGCACUCGUGUGUCUCAGGUCAGCCCGGGCCGGCUAAUUGAUCCAGUGUGUUAGCCUUGCUCUGUGCGAUCUAUUCUCCGCGGCAUAGACCACGGUCGAUAGUGCUUUUUAACGUGCCGUCCGACUGUCUAACUGUGCAUUGGUGGGCCCCCGGCUCGCCGAGCGCAGGAUGGCAGUUGGUGCCCGUGGCGCCAGUUCUCACUGGUGCCCAAUCCGUUCUUGAUCGGCCGAUGGCCGGACGGUAUCGUCGCUAUCGUUGAUGUGUGGCUUGUUGCUCACGGGCAGCUCGCCGCUCAGAACCGUGGUUCUGAGGUAGACCUUCCACCCGACCCGUCUUGA